UGCAAGUCGAACGAUGAACCACUUCGGUGGGGAUUAGUGGCGAACGGGUGAGUAACACGUGGGCAAUCUGCCCUGCACUCUGGGACAAGCCCUGGAAACGGGGUCUAAUACCGGAUACUGACCCGCCUGGGCAUCCAGGCGGAUCGAAAGCUCCGGCGGUGCAGGAUGAGCCCGCGGCCUAUCAGCUUGUUGGUGAGGUAACGGCUCACCAAGGCGACGACGGGUAGCCGGCCUGAGAGGGCGACCGGCCACACUGGGACUGAGACACGGCCCAGACUCCUACGGGAGGCAGCAGUGGGGAAUAUUGCACAAUGGGCGCAAGCCUGAUGCAGCGACGCCGCGUGAGGGAUGACGGCCUUCGGGUUGUAAACCUCUUUCAGCAGGGAAGAAGCGCAAGUGACGGUACCUGCAGAAGAAGCGCCGGCUAACUACGUGCCAGCAGCCGCGG
rnacentral:rRNA from 1 species